rnacentral:rRNA from 1 species
CCUACGGGAGGCUGCAGUGGGGAAUAUUGGACAAUGGGCGAAAGCCUGAUCCAGCCAUGCCGCGUGUGUGAAGAAGGCCUUCGGGUUGUAAAGCACUUUCAGUGGGGAAGAAAGCCUUGGGGCUAAUACCCUCGAGGAAGGACAUCACCCACAGAAGAAGCACCGGCUAACUCCGUGCCAGCAGCCGCGGUAAUACGGAGGGUGCGAGCGUUAAUCGGAAUUACUGGGCGUAAAGCGCGCGUAGGCGGUCUGAUAAGCCGGUUGUGAAAGCCCCGGGCUCAACCUGGGAACGGCAUCCGGAACUGUCAGGCUAGAGGGCAGGAGAGGAAGGUAGAAUUCCCGGUGUAGCAGUGAAAUGCGUAGAGAUCGGGAGGAAUACCAGUGGCGAAGGCGGCCUUCUGGACUGACACUGACGCUGAGGUGCGAAAGCGUGGGUAGCAAACAGGAUUAGAUACCCGAGUAGUC